GGGUGUGAUCAUAGCAGCGUUAAUGUGUUGCAUCCCAUCAGAACUCCACAGUUAAGCGCCCUUGGCAUAGAGUAUUACUGGGAUGGGUGACCUCCCAGGAAGUCCUAGUGUUGCACCCU
rfam:Picea glauca, whole genome shotgun sequence.